rnacentral:tRNA from 1 species
GCAGGCGUAGCUCAGCAGGUAGAGCGCCACCUUGCCAAGGUGGAGGUCGUGGGUUCGAGCCCCAUCGCCCGCU